rnacentral:rRNA from 1 species
AGAGUUUGAUCAUGGCUCAGGACGAACGCUGGCGGCGUGCCUAACACAUGCAAGUCGAGCGGGGACAUUUUGCUUCGGCGGGAUGUUCUAGCGGCGGACUGGUGAGUAACGCGUGAGCAAUCUGUCCCAUACAGGGGGAUAACAGCUGGAAACAGCUGCUAAUACCGCAUGAGACCACAACGUCACAUGACGAAGGGGUCAAAGGAGCAAUCCGGUAUGGGGUGAGCUCGCGUCCCAUUAGGUAGUUGGUGAGGUAACGGCCCACCAAGCCGACGAUGGGUAGCCGACCUGAGAGGGUGAUCGGCCACACUGGAACUGAGACACGGUCCAGACUCCUACGGGAGGCAGCAGUGGGGAAUAUUGGGCAAUGGGCGAAAGCCUGACCCAGCAACGCCGCGUGAGGGAAGAAGGUUUUCGGAUUGUAAACCUCUGUCCUUGGUGACGAAGGAAGUGACGGUAACCAAGGAGGAAGCCCCGGCUAACUACGUGCCAGCAGCCGCGGUAAUACGUAGGGGGCAAGCGUUGUCCGGAAUGACUGGGCGUAAAGGGCGCGUAGGCGGCUUUUUAAGUUAGAAGUGGAAGUCCUGCUUUCAAGGUGGGAAUUGCUUUUAAUACUGGAAGGCUUGAGUGCAGAAGAGGUAAGUGGAAUUCCCAGUGUAGCGGUGAAAUGCGUAGAGAUUGGGAAGAACACCAGUGGCGAAGGCGACUUACUGGGCUGUAACUGACGCUGAGGCGCGAAAGCGUGGGGAGCAAACAGGAUUAGAUACCCUGGUAGUCCACGCGGUAAACGAUGAAUACUAGGUGUAGGAGGUAUCGACCCCUUCUGUGCCGGAGCUAACACAAUAAGUAUUCCGCCUGGGGAGUACGAUCGCAAGAUUAAAACUCAAAGGAAUUGACGGGGGCCCGCACAAGCGGUGGAGUAUGUGGUUUAAUUCGACGCAACGCGAAGAACCUUACCAGGUCUUGACAUUGAUCGCCAUUCACAGAAAUGUGAAGUUCUCCUUCGGGAGACGAGAAAACAGGUGGUGCACGGCUGUCGUCAGCUCGUGUCGUGAGAUGUUGGGUUAAGUCCCGCAACGAGCGCAACCCCUAUCUUAUGUUACCAGCACGUUAUGGUGGGGACUCAUGAGAGACCGCCGCGGACAACGCGGAGGAAGGUGGGGAUGACGUCAAGUCAUCAUGCCCCUUAUGACCUGGGCUACACACGUACUACAAUGGGUGUCAACAAAGAGAAGCGAGCCUGCGAAGGUAAGCAAAUCCCAAAAAUAACGUCCCAGUUCGGACUGCAGUCUGCAACUCGACUGCACGAAGCUGGAAUCGCUAGUAAUCGCGGAUCAGAAUGCCGCGGUGAAUACGUUCCCGGGUCUUGUACACACCGCCCGUCACACCAUGGGAGUCAGUAACGCCCGAAGUCAGUGACCUAACUGCAAAGAAGGAGCUGCCGAAGGCGGGACGGAUGACUGGGGUGAAGUCGUAACAAGGUA